GGGUUGUGAGGUUAAGCGACUAAGCGUACACGGUGGAUGCCCUGGCAGUCAGAGGCGAUGAAGGGCGUGCUAAUCUGCGAUAAGCGCCGGUAAGGUGAUAUGAACCGUUAUAACCGGCGAUACCCGAAUGGGGAAACCCAGUGUGACUCGUCACACUAUCAUU
rnacentral:rRNA from 1 species